rnacentral:lncRNA from 15 species
UGACACAUAAUUUAUCACAGGAACAGAGUCAUUCCUUUUAACAUGCACCACUUCACAGACUCUGACAGUCAGUUCCUGAGAAAAGACAUAAAGAAGACUGAAGCACGAUGGUUGAAUCAAGAUGGAUUAAAAUGUCUUUAUUUCUGAUGCUGCUGCUUCACUUUACAGCAGUGACUGAACAACUCUACCCCCGUAUUGUUGUCAGAGUUGGAGAUGAAGUCACUUUGCCUUGUGACAAUGUGAGAGAUUAUCAGGACAAAUGUCAGCGUACUUCGUGGCUCUUUGUUGGUUCAGGAAACACAACGUCAAAACUUCUGAUUGACCGUGGACAGAUUGGUGAAAACAGCAACUCUAAAUCAGACAGACUGAGUGUUACAGCGAACUAUUCUCUGGUUAUAAAGGUCACAGCCGAGGAUGUUGGUCAAUACACCUGCAGACAGUUCAAUGAUACAGGACAUCAACAAGGUCCAGACUCUCACGUUGAUCUGUCUGUUAUUACCAUGACUGAACAUAAGGACUCUGAUAAGGUGACAUUAGGCUGCUCUGUGUUGACUGACAGAGGGUGUGAACACAGAGUGAAGUGGCUGAAUCAGGGUGAAGAUCUGGAUAAAGAUAAUGAAGACAGGGACACAUCAGAGCCUAAGUGCUCAGUUACUGUGACAUUUCCUACUUCUGAUCUUAACCUGAAGUCAGAGCAUCGUGAGUUGUUUAAGUGUGAAGUGACUGAUCUUUUUGUUCAACCAGAGCAGCAGUUUACCUUCAGCCUUCAGUCCUCAGCUCGUACAGAUUGGUCUGUUCUGAACUACAUAAUGUUGGUUAUGCGUGUGGCUGAACUCCUCCUAAUUACUGUGAUUACUGUUCUUCUCAUCAGAGCUCGAGGAAACCAGAGACCACCUGAUGACAGCACUGUUUUAAACUCAGUAAGAAGCCGAGCAGUGAGGCGUUCAGGUCCAGCAGCCAGUCAGGUGCAUCAUGAUGGAGAUGGACAUGACGGCACAGUGAACUAUGAAAACGUUGGAGAGCCUUCUGCUUCUGUCAGACUCGACAACUUCCACACCAACAUCAACUCACCAGAGAAAUGAGUCCACUGCUGUUAAACAUUUUCCAGGGAACCAGAGACCACCUGAUGACAUCACUGUGAGUUGAAAAGUGAAGUGUAAAAUUAAAAAUAUAUACGAACGAUUGGACACAUAAGUCAGUGUAAAUGCUGGUGGGAACUGUUGUGUGAGGUCCACUUAAACAUUUCUUGACAGCAUUAUUUUACACAAAAACAUGAAUCAUAAUUUUAUUUUGAGGCUCUACAUGAGGUAUUGCUGAAUGUAUUGAUCAAGCAGAAUCCCCCAUGGCUUUCAAAUAAAGCCAACACAGAAGUAACAUAAACUACAGUUCCUUGAGCUGCCACUUGAAGCUGGCUUCAGAAGUGAUCAGGCCCCAUAUUUAAAAGUUUACAGCAGAAAUAAACAUGUUUACAACCUGGAGCACAGGUGCCUUGAGCUCCCAGUCCAUCAGGAGUUAGCAGCAACUAGUGGUUAGCUAAUAGCAACAAGUAAAGCUAAUGUAUCCAUCAGUAAACUCUGUAUAUCCCUGAGAGCGGAGGUAGAGAAGCUGCACAACAACACAACUGAAAACUAAAAAAGGACUUUCUGCAUCCAAAAUCUUGAAGGGUUACUCCUGAGCAGAGCAGUGGGAUAAGUUAGACAGACUAAUCACAUCCCUGUAAUUCAUGGGCAUAAUCAAAAAAGCACAAUAGGUCCCCUUUAAGAAGCUUGCUGUACUGUAUUUAAGAAUGUCUUUUCUUGCAUUUUGAAAAUGUUUCCUUUCUUUAGCCAGUUCAAUUCUAACAACUUUCUUAGGAUGACAUCCAUUUGAACUUAGGCCUGCUGGUUUUCUGUUUGUCUUUUAAUGUCAUAAGUAGCCUAGCCUAGCACAACCUCCCUUGUAUCACUGUGUGCAGAAGAACUCAUUUUAAUUAACUUUGAUAUAGAAUUGCUGUUUUCCAAUGUCCAAUAUGUUUUUGUAAUUUUAGUGGAGUAGGUUUAAAUGAGCUUUGAUUCUUAAAGUCUGUAACAGUGUCGUCUUCAUAUACACACUGUAAUCAAUUGAUGUGUUGUGUCUUUUAUAGUAAAAUAUAUCUGAGCUUUGAUUAGUAACAGUGUUGUGUUGAUUAUAACUGAUUGUAUGAUCUGCUGAAAAAAAACAUGUAUGUAUGUAUGUAUGUUAUAAUUAAUUGAUGUGUCAUGUAUUUUACAAUAAAAGGUGGAUAUCCAUAUUGAUUUUGGAGAGACCCUCUAUUAGUAUUAUUUUUUCUGAAUUGCCUUUUAUUCACAAAACGUAUUUUUCAAAAAAGAAAAUUGUCUCCAAGAACGGUUAUGCUGUUGUAGAAAACAAAUGGUUUUUUGAAAU